GACGAACGCUGGCGGCGUGCUUAACACAUGCAAGUCGAACGGAAAGGCCCUGCUUUUGUGGGGUGCUCGAGUGGCGAACGGGUGAGUAACACGUGAGUAACCUGCCCUUGACUUUGGGAUAACUUCAGGAAACUGGGGCUAAUACCGGAUAGGAGCUCCUGCUGCAUGGUGGGGGUUGGAAAGUUUCGGCGGUUGGGGAUGGACUCGCGGCUUAUCAGCUUGUUGGUGGGGUAGUGGCUUACCAAGGCUUUGACGGGUAGCCGGCCUGGGAGGGUGACCGGCCACAUUGGGACUGAGAUACGGACCAGAAUCGUACGGGAGGCAGAAGUGGGGAAUAUUGCACAAUGGGCGGAAGCCUGAUGCGGCAACGCCGCGUGCGGGAUGACGGGCUUCGGGUUGUAAACCGCUUUCGCCUGUGACGAAGCGUGAGUGACGGUAAUGGGUAAAGAAGCACCGGCUAACUACGUG
rnacentral:rRNA from 1 species